CUCUUAUCACGAGUGGCUGAGGGACUGGCCCUAUGAAGCCACAGCAACCGGUAGCGCCUCUGGCGCGACGACAGGUGCUAAUUCCAGCAAGGCCUUUGGGCUUUGGAAGAUAAGAA
rnacentral:ncRNA from 2 species